GUGAUUCUCUCCAAGCUGUCGAGGAGAGAGGAUGCAUUUUUCUGCUCUUGCAGAGGCAAGAUGUCUUUCUGUAAUAUACCAGCUUUGAACUGUAAAUAAAGCUAUAUGGAGUAUGGAGCACGUAUUCUCAUCCUUCCGCUGGGCACGACAGACUCUGCUUUAAAUCAACACGUGGUUAUGGACUCCAGGAAUCGAAUCGCAGUGCCGGCAGAGGAUCGGAAUGCAGAGGGAGGACAGAUCGGAACGGAAUCUGCUCUGCGCGUAGAAGUGAUUGAUGAGGUAUGUGCUACUGCUCCGGGCAGCCUGCCAGCUUCAAGUUAAUGGCUUUAUGGCUGGACUUUGAACUUUUAAAGCCGGUUUUGCCGGGAAUAGGCAAAAGGCUCCCAGGCACAAGUCACUAUGCUGGGGAAAUCUACAGUAACUUUUAAGUGUGCCUUUGUAAUGAGGCAGCUGCAGCAGUGACGCAGCAAGAUUUAAAGCAGCACAGAUAUGACGCUGAAGGCUAAUGCCAGAGUCAUGAUGGCCCUUCAGGAUGCUUGUAGGAUUCCUAAGCUCAACAAGAAAAAUUACAGCGACUGGGUUCAGUAUGCAGAGGCAAUUCUGCGGAAAGAGGGUUUGUUUGAGGUGAUUACAGGAACCCCCAGUUCCAGUUACAGAUGCAUGGGAAGCUAAGGAUUCCAAAGCAAGGGGAACUCUUACAUUGAUAGUAUCCCCAGAAGAGCUCUGUCUAUUGCGUGAUAAGACCUCAGCCAGAGAAAUUUGGGACGCUCUGAAAGAGGCUCACUUAAGGACAGAAGCUGGAUCCACUAUGUAUUAUUUUAACAAGCUGCAUAAUAUGGCUCUUGCUGAAGGUGGAGAUGUGCGUUUACAUCUAAUGGAGAUGCAAAAUCUGAGACAUGAGCUGCAACAGAGAGGACUCAACUUUCCAGAGGCUGUGUAUUCUUUCAUGAUACUACAAUCUUUGGGUUCAGGUUGGGAGUCUGUUGCAACCCAGAUUGCUGUGCAACCAACUGCUCAGCUGACAGUGGACUUUGUUACUGCCGUGAUUUUAAAUGAAGCAGAUCGCCGGGGUGCUAGCUGCAUGGGCAAGGAGAGUCUUCACAGACGUCAUCCCAUAGUGCAGUGGAACCACCAGAUGGCGCCAAAGCUUUGAAGGCAGUCAAAUGCUACUCGUGUGGACGUCUAGGCCAUAUGAAGAGGGAAUGCAGACAUCCCAGGGCCAAGACAGAGCAGCGCAGCGAAAGCUCAUCGCGCGGAAAAGGCCGAGGCAAAGGCAAAGGUCCGGUGUCUAGGACAACGCAGCACAAGGCUAUGGUUUCACGCUUCACUCCAAAGGUUGCAGAGGUCCAGAAGACGUCUAGAUCUUUCUUCGUUGUUGAUUCAGCGGCCACCCACCACAUGUGCAACGAUAAGAAACUGUUUGUGUCUUUUACACCGCAGGAAGGUGCGAUUCACCAGGCGGAUGACCACACUAUUCCCAGUAAAGGCUACGGAACUGUUGUUCUUCACAGUUUGGACUUAUCGAUACAGAAUGUGCUUUACGUGCCAGACGCCAAACAUAAUCUGCUCAGCGUUGGACAGCUGAAUGAGCGGAACAUUGACGUUUCCUUCAAGAACAAGAAGUGCAUCAUCACAAAGAAAAAUGAUUAUGUAUUGCAUGCAGAAUAUGUUGAUCAUUUGUUUGUUUUGUAUUAUGAUGAUGUGGUGCAGGAUGACACUUGUUGCAUUGCAGGUUCUAACAAAAGUUUGCAUGCAGAAUGUAUUCACGAUUUUCAUCGCAAAUUUGGUCAUUUGCAUUUUGAGGCAGUAUCUAAAAUGCCUGCCUUGGUUGAAGGUAUGACUAUUAAACCCUGCAGGUACCACAUGAAGUGCAAAGCAUGCGCAGCAAACAAGGUGAAAAUGGCUGCGAAAGGUAAGGUGUCUAGUAGGAAAGCUACAGAACCAUACCAGGUUGUUCAUGCUGAUUUGGUUGGACCACUUGCGCCCUCUUUGGGUGGAAAUAGAUACUUCAUGGUUCUCAUUGAUGCAUUUUCUAGAUAUAUUUUUGUGUACAAUCUCAAGCAGAAAUCGGAGGCUUUUCCUAGGUUCAAGGAAUUCUGUGCUUGGUUGGAAAAUGUGCAUGGUAAGAAGAUAAAGACUCUUUUCAGUGAUCGCGGGGGGGAAUUCACUUCUCAGCAGUUUGAAGCUUUUCUGACUGAGAAAGGAAUUCAACACGAUUUGUCUAGUCCUCGCUCGCCAUGGCAGAAUGGACUUGCGGAACGGGCAAAUCAGACAUUGCUUCAAGGCUUAAAAACCUUGCUGCAUGAUGCCAAUCUUCCAGAGAGUUAUUGGGCCGAAUCUCUCUCGUGUUUUGUUUACAGUUACAAUCGCAGGUUAUCUUCAGCGAUUGGAUGUACCCCCUAUGAGAAGAUGUUUGGCAAGAAGCCAUACAUCAAACACAUGAAGAUUUUGGUUCUGACAUGUGGGUUCGCUCACCACAAAACUCCAAGUUAGACAAGCGUGGAUUGCAUGGUAUCUUUCUAGGUUAUCAGAAAGGGUCUUACAGAAUAAUGAUGACUGACUCUAAGACAAUUAAGCUCACGAGAAGUGUUGAGUACAAUGCAAAGUGGGGGAGAAUGUGGGAAUUUUCCAAUGUUAUCCUGAUGACGGUGAUGAGACUGAGGAUAGUCAAAAGCAACCACAACAACCCACACCCACUGAUGAAGGUUCUGAGUCUGAAUCUGAAACUGAAUCGGGUGAUUCAGAGGAUUUCAAGAGUGCGAAAGCCUCUAUGCGACCCUCUGAAAGCUCUGAUCAAGAAUUGGAGGAACCAUUGUUCACAAUAGGUCGUUUUUCUCCUAAGAAGGAAGAGGAGAGUGUUGAAGACUUAAGGCUAAUUCGUAGGUCACAGAGAGCCACAAAAGGCAAACCUCCAAAGAGAUUUGCUGAUGAGUUUGCUAAGAUAGCAGUAACAGCUGUUAAAAGCUCCAAGAAGGUAUUUGAACCUUCAAGUUUCCAAGAAAUCCAGGGUUUGGAUUCAAAGGAAGCUGAGCCAUGGUUAAAUGCCAUGAAGGCUGAGCUUGAUUCCUUAGAAAGGAACAAAACAUGGGAGCUAGUUCCAGUAGUUCCAGGAAUGAAACUGCUUGGAAGCAAAUGGGUCUUCAAAGCGAAGACAGAUCAAAAUGGCAAGAUAGUCAGACACAAAGCCAGAUUGGUAGCCAGAGGUUUUGCACAGGUACCAGGUGAAGACUAUCACGAGACCUAUUCACCCACAGUGAGAUAUGAAAGCAUUAGGCUUAUGCUCAAGCUAGCUGCAGAGGAAAAUCUACACAUUAGUCACCAUGAUAUUAAUACAGCUUUUCUGUACGGAUCUCUAGAUGAAUCACUUUAUAUGCUUCCACCUGAUGGCGUACAGGUAAAACAGGGAUUUGUUUGUGCUCUGAAGAAAUCCCUUUAUGGUCUCAAACAAAGUGCACGGUGUUGGCACACAAAACUCACUGAAGUAUUGUUUUCUCUAGGUUUUCAGCAAGGGAAAGCUGAUCCAUGUGUAUUUGUCAAAGAGGAGGGGCAAAAGAAACUGUACUGUUUGUUUUUAUGUUGAUGAUUUAUUAUUCUUUUGGAAAGAUGUUGCAAUGUACAAUAGCGCCCUAGCUCAACUGAAAGAGCACUUUGACAUGAAAGAUCUUGGUGAGGUAAACAACUACCUAUCUCUGGAAAUAGAGAGAGAUCAAGAUGGUAACAUUCUAGUACACCAGUCACGGAAAAUUGCUGAUGUGUUAAGCAAACUAAAUCUGAUGGAUGCUAACCCUGUAGACACACCGAUGACAACAGGUUAUCAGGUAGAUGACACUGAAGAAGCAUUUUCUGACACUACACUGUACAGGAGUGUGCUAGGCAAGCUAAACUUCAUUGCCAGAUGUUCAAGACCAGACAUUGCUGUUAGCUGUAAUUUGCUAAGCAGACAAGUCAACAAUCCUAGUGUCAAGGAUUGGAAAGCUCUGAAACGCAUAGCGCGGUAUUUGAAAGGCACUAUGCAUUACAGACUGAGAUUUAACAAUCAGAAGUCUGGUGGUCUUGAGAUAUUUGCAGAUGCAAGUUUUGGAAGUGACACUACAGACAGGAAAAGUACGUCUGGAGUUUGCUACAUGUACAAUCAGAGUCUGUUUGAUUGGUCAUGCAAGAAGCAAACAACAGUUAGCUUAAGUACUUGUGAAGCUGAACUGAAUGCACUGUCUUAUUCACUUAAGGAUUGUGAAUGGUUAGUACAAUUGUGCAAAGAUAUGAAAAUUCCUGUCAAAUGUCCAAUCCAGGUUUACCAGGACAACAAAGCAUGUUUGGCUUUGCUCAAGUCUGAAGGUUGUAAGCAAAGCACAAAGCACUUGCAAUUAAAGUUGCAGCAUGCUAGGGAAUGUAUUCAGAAGGGACUCGUAACGGUGUCCUAUAUGCCAGGUAAUGAAAUUCCUGCUGAUGUAUUGUCCAAGAUUGUAUCAAGGGAUCAACACUGUACCUAUGUGCAGAAGUUGGGUUUGUACUGAUACUGUACGAACACGCUGCCCAGUGAUGUUCACAGAAAGGGGAGGAUGUUGGUUUCUAUUUCCCUCACUGAGCAGCAACUGCAGUCACAAGACAUUGUUUUACAUUCCACAGUCUGUACUGUUGGAGUUUCUCACGGGAAAGGGAGACUGGAUGUGACGUACACUGGUUUCCUGUUUUUUCACUGUGUGAUUCUCUCCAAGCUGUCGAGGAGAGAGGAUGCAUUUUUCUGCUCUUGCAGAGGCAAGAUGUCUUUCUGUAAUAUACCAGCUUUGAACUGUAAAUAAAGCUAUAUGGAGUAUGGAGCACGUAUUCUCAUCCUUCCGCUGGGCACGACAGACUCUGCUUUAAAUCAACAG
rnacentral:lncRNA from 1 species